rnacentral:rRNA from 1 species
CUCUGUAAUUGGAAUGAUGGGAAUGUAAAACCCUUCCAGAGUAACAAUUGGAGGGCAAGUCUGGUGCCAGCAGCCGCGGUAAUUCCAGCUCCAAUAGUGUAUAUUAGAGUUGUUGCAGUUAAAAAGCUCGUAGUUGGAUUUCUGUCGUGGUCAUCCGGCUCCGCCCGUAUGGGUGUGCGCCUGGUUUGCCCUCGGCUUUCUUCCGGUAGCCUUCCGCGCUUCACUGCGUGUGUUGGUGUUCCGGAACUUUUACUUUGAGAAAAAUAGAGUGUUUCAAGCAGGCUUGUCGCCCUGAAUACUUCAGCAUGGAAUAAUAAGAUAGGACCUUGGUUCUAUUUUGUUGGUUUCUAGGACCAAGGUAAUGGUUAAUAGGGACAGUUGGGGGCAUUCGUAUUUAACUGUCAGAGGUGAAAUUCUUAGAUUUGUUAAAGACGAACUACUGCGAAAGCAUUUGCCAAGGAUGUUUUCAUUAAUCAAGAACGACAGUAGGGGGUU